UACGGGAGGCAGCAGUGGGGAAUCUUGCGCAAUGGGCGAAAGCCUGACGCAGCCAUGCCGCGUGAAUGAUGAAGGUCUUAGGAUUGUAAAAUUCUUUCACCGGGGACGAUAAUGACGGUACCCGGAGAAGAAGCCCCGGCUAACUUCGUGCCAGCAGCCGCGGUAAUACGAAGGGGGCUAGCGUUGCUCGGAAUUACUGGGCGUAAAGGGAGCGUAGGCGGACAUUUAAGUCAGGGGUGAAAAUCCCGGGGCUCAACCUCGGAAUUGCCUUUUGAUACUGGGUGUCUUGAGUAUGAGAGAGGUGUGUGGAACUCCGAGUGUAGAGGUGAAAUUCGUAGAUAUUCGGAAGAACACCAGUGGCGAAGGCGACACACUGGCUCAUUACUGACGCUGAGGCUCGAAAGCGUGGGGAGCAAACAGGGAUUAGAUACC
rnacentral:rRNA from 1 species